rnacentral:sRNA from 14 species
AUAUGAGGGCAAUCUGGCUGAAACAUCUUCUGCCCCAUUAAUUCCAGGGUUUAUUUGGUGAUCUGGUGAUCUGGCUGGCUAGGAAGGUGUUCCCUUCUUUCUCACUGUU